GAAACACACCAUUGGUAAGAAAAACACAAAAAAGUUUGAAAAAAUUGCAUGUGGCGUCAACCUGGCCUCCAUAGAAUUGACCGUCAGAAGGCUAUUAAAAAGGUUGAUGCCAGAAAAAGUGUUUCUGAUGUCGAAGCUUGAUUAAAUGUGCAGAAGUCAACAGUUUAGAUACUAACAAACAGAUAUCGACAAAUUGCAACUGCACGGGUUAGGUCGAUAUGUCGUAGACCAAGAAAAACUAUCGUGCUUUGCAUCAACACGUGACAAUUUUUGUGCGGCCACAAGAGUAGUGCAUUGACUGAGGGCAAAUGUUGGUGCGCCUGCUAAUUCUUCAUUGAUGCAGUUAGGGCAUGGCCGAGGAAUUGAUUUUGAAUAACUCUAAUACUCAUUUUCGCAUUUUGACCCUCCCGCGCUCUAUACAAAAAAAAUCCCAAUGAAUGUGAGUGAUAAACAUUCAUGUUGCUUCUGAUAUGUCAUAAUUUCAUUUGUUUACUAUUAAAAUCAUAUGUUGUUACAAUUUUGUUAUAAGAUAAAAUUUCAUAUUUUUGUUGCUAAACUUUUUUGGCUCAGUAUAGUUUAAAUUCUAUAGUUCUUGUUCACAUGAGAGAGAGAGACGUUGUCACUUACCAUCUAGUUUAACUUUGUCUUACUUAAGUUUUUAAGUAGAUAGUUCGGAUAUUUCAUUUUGGAAAUCUUCAAAUGUAUUAUGCCAUCCAUAUUGGCACUGUACUGGCCGAUUCAGAAAGUGUAACCAAGAUGACUGGGUUUAAGUAAAGAUAAAUCAAUCAGGAGCUGACUUUUAUUUCACUACCAAUCCAAAUGGUGAAAAACUGAAAAUACAAAUAUAAAUACAAUUUUACAAUGUGUUCAAUGAUAAUUAAAGUCCAUUAAAAUACGGAUAUAAAACAGUUUGUAAGUAUAUAAGGCCGUUAAAGAUCUUUAUAAUAAUAAAUGGAUAUUCUUGCACACGUCGGGUUCUGUCUUGGAUUAAAUUGUGUUAUCGCAGAUACGAACAGAUUGAACGGUAAAAUGUUCAUAGUUUCUUUAUAACAUAGGAAAGUAAAAAACAGUUCAACGCUAAUGUAAAGACAUGAUUUGUAAUAUUUUAAAUGUAACUCACGCUGUGAUUAGCCACGAAUUGUUUCUUUGGACAACGUGUCCAAUAAAUGUUCCUUGUACGAGUGCACACGACUCGCUGAACAGUUUUCGUCAUUCUGAAGAGAGGGGAAAGUAACAAAGAUUCCUACACUGUCCUGUAUAAAACUCCUAAAACUGGCGCACAUAAAGAGAUGUACGCAAUGAAACGUUAACAAUGUAAAAUGAUGAUCAAAUGAACAAUAAAUGAUGAAUGAGUUCUAGAACACUCCCCG
rnacentral:lncRNA from 1 species